UACGGAGGGAGCUAGCGUUGUUCGGAAUUACUGGGCGUAAAGCGCACGUAGGCGGCUUUGUAAGUUAGAGGUGAAAGCCUGGAGCUCAACUCCAGAAUAGCCUUUAAGACUGCAUCGCUUGAAUCCAGGAGAGGUGAGUGGAAUUCCGAGUGUAGAGGUGAAAUUCGUAGAUAUUCGGAAGAACACCAGUGGCGAAGGCGGCUCACUGGUUGGAUACUGACGCUGAUACGCGAAAGCGUGGGGAGCAAACAGG
rnacentral:rRNA from 1 species